UACGGAGGGGGCUAGCGUUGUUCGGAAUUACUGGGCGUAAAGCGCGCGUAGGCGGCUUUGCAAGUCAGAGGUGAAAGCCUGGAGCUCAACUCCAGAACUGCCUUUGAAACUGCAUCGCUUGAAUCAUGGAGAGGUUAGUGGAAUUCCGAGUGUAGAGGUGAAAUUCGUAGAUAUUCGGAAGAACACCAGUGGCGAAGGCGACUAACUGGACAUGUAUUGACGCUGAGGUGCGAAAGCGUGGGGAGCAAACAGG
rnacentral:rRNA from 1 species